UCCUUUCUUUCUUCCUCAGUAAUGCUUCCUAAACCAGGGGAAUUUUGGGGUAGCUGGUUAAACUGGCUUUAUGGCUCCACUGCAUCAGUAGACCAGUGCAAACAGCUGUAGCUUAUGGAGAACUGGCCUCUGGAAUGCAGAGGAAACCUAAAUUGGUAUAAUAGAUGCAGGGGACCAGAAAGUGUAAGUUACAUCCAAUUAGAGUCCUUCCUCCUUUUAGGCUUACUUAGAUUCACAUCUGAAUCAGGGCCCUCGUUUGUAAAUUCUUCAGGACAGGUACCAUCGAGUCAGAUUCUGAGCUCAUUCACCCUGAAAUCUAGACUUACUCCUCUUUUAUACAUACCACUGUUACUGAAUAACAGUAUACUGACCCUAUACUUUUCACUUGUCUACUAAAUAUCAUGCACAUUUAUGGAGCUAUAUUUGUAAUCAAUAAUAAUAACAAAAGGGAGAAAGUCAGAAGAGCAACCUACAGUUUGCAUUGCCCCAAGGGGCGUCAUCACAAUCUUUGCUACACAGCUGCUGAUUUCGGAGCUUAGGCACUCACAUAUGAUCACUGCACCCACAGGAUGCUGGAAUCAGCUGACUAACAAUAGAUUCAUGUCUCAUAUUUCUGCAUGAGAGCAACACACCUCUUACCGCUAUCUGGGUUACAAGAUUUGCACAAGCGUGUCUCUACUGACUCCAGAGGAGUUACUCUGCAUUUAUAUUGAUGUAACACAGCAGAAGCUAUUUCAUUAUGUGCUGUAACAGACAGGAAUUUUAGCCAAUGAAUAUUCAUGCCACCUUGAAGGAGAGUGACGUGGGCUAGUGGACAGAGUAGGAGACUGGAAGGUGGGGAAACUGAGGCACAGAUGUGAAGUGAUUCAUCCUAAACCACAGUGGGAGUUGGUGUCAGAGGUGAGAUGAUACUUCAGGACCUCUUGGCUGCCAGUCCUGCAUUCGGGCCACUAGAUCUUACUUUUCCCAGGGUUACGCUACAUCCUGGAUCGGGAGAGUGUGGACUACAGGGGUCCUUCUCAAACUGUGUGUUCAAGAAAAUCAAAUAAAAUGGAAUCUCAUGUUAUGAGGCAGAGAAUGACCCCUGAAGAACUGAAUUUCUGCCACACCCCUUGCUAAUCAACAGACACUUCCUUAUUCAAUACCUCUCUCCGCAGAGAAGGGGUCCCCACACAUUCUUGUUGGAGCCACUAUAUGUUUUCUCCCUCCCCUUACACUUUGCAGCUCCCUUCAUACUCCCCAACACUUAUUCCUGCAGCAAGGGUCUGACACUGAUUCAAGAACCAACCAGACAAAAGACUGUUUAGCUGAUGAGAUCUGACAGCAUCACAGCCCAAGGUGGUAUGGCUAGAGGCUAAACUGCACUGUUCUCCUGGCAAGUGUGCCAUUAUUUUCCUCUGCAGCUGUAACAUGUUGUUUUUGCAGCCUCUAGCAUAUAGAUAUUGCAAAGGAAAACAGUUUCGUAUCCUCCUCCACAAACAGCGGGAAAAGAUCUUUCCUUCGGCUUAACUAGGUGUUUAGUAGAACCGGCUUAGCAUCACAGGCUGAACAGACUGUGAUGCUGAGUUAAUGCGAGUAUUGUACAAGUUUAGUGCAUAGUUACAAUGUCAUUAUAGCAUUAUUAACACAGCCCAUUUUCCUAUCCUGUGGAAUGAAGUGAUAUUAAGGCCCAAGAAUGAGUCUUAAAGGACAGAUAGGGUGACCAGAUGUCCCGAAUUUAUAGGGACAGUCACGAUCUUUGGGUCUUUUUCUUAUAUAGGCUCCUAUUAUCCCCCACCCCCGUCCUGAUUUUUCACAUUUGAUGUCUGGUCACCCUAAGAAUGUAUGAUGUGAAAAUGUAAACCCCCCAUAUUCAAUCCAAUAGAAAAUAUGAUAGAAUCCACACCACUGUGGUUUCACUUAGAUGCAAUAUUUUCUUUUCCUGUCCUAGACAGUUGUGCACUGUUCCUGUGAUCUGUUAAAUGUCUGCUAUGCUCCACCCCAGAGAUGGCUGCAUUUCUGUAGGAUGUGAACCAAUGUAUUCACAGAAAAAGAUGCAAUUCCUACCCCAAGGAGAGUACAAUCUAAAUAGUGUACAGCUUCAUUAGUGGCUUUCUUAAUAGUGUUCCUUUAGCUUGCUCCCUACAUGACAGCCUUUCAACUGGCUAACGCAAAACAGUAAAAAUUGUACAGUGCAUAGGUAUCUUGCAGUGAAGGGUAUUAUUGAAAUAUAAUACUGUAGUGCCCAGUAUGGUGGAGCCUGGCUCUUUGAUUUUGCAGUACCUAAUACAAUACAGGUAUCCGCUACCAUAAUACAACUACUACUACUAAUUAAACAUAUAAACGUCAGAAAAUAGCUAUAUAAUUGUCUCUUUCUACCACCUACUGGACAUAAUGGGAAACUGCAGGACAGUGCUGUUAGAUGCACUUUAUUGCCCUCUGUAGACAUCUCCUAGGAAAACAGCUAACUUUAUGAGUAAGGUUAAGAUUUUGUCACGGUUAUUUUUAGUAUAAGGAACAUGAAAGGUUGCAGGCAAUAAACAAAAAUUCACGGAAGCCUGGGACCUGUCAGUGACUUUUAGUAAAAAUAAUGAGGGUGGGCUGUUGAUGAGAGGAUAAC